rnacentral:rRNA from 1 species
UGGGGAAUUUUGGACAAUGGGCGCAAGCCUGAUCCAGCCAUGCCGCGUGCGGGAAGAAGGCCUUCGGGUUGUAAACCGCUUUUGUCAGGGAAGAAAUCUUCUGAGUUAAUACCUCGGGAGGAUGACGGUACCUGAAGAAUAAGCACCGGCUAACUACGUGCCAGCAGCCGCGGUAAUACGUAGGGUGCAAGCGUUAAUCGGAAUUACUGGGCGUAAAGCGUGCGCAGGCGGUUUUGUAAGACAGAGGUGAAAUCCCCGGGCUCAACCUGGGAACUGCCUUUGUGACUGCAAGGCUUGAGUGCGGCAGAGGGGGAUGGAAUUCCGCGUGUAGCAGUGAAAUGCGUAGAUAUGCGGAGGAACACCGAUGGCGAAGGCAAUCCCCUGGGCCUGCACUGACGCUCAUGCACGAAAGCGUGGGGAGCAAACAGGAUUAGAUACCCCUGGUAGUCCACGCCCUAAACGAUGUCAACUGGUUGUUGGGAAGGUUCCUUCUCAGUAACGUAGCUAACGCGUGAAGUUGACCGCCUGGGGAGUACGGCCGCAAGGUU